GCUGAAUGCUGCUCAUCAAAAUCUGCUUUACCGCCACUGAUGUCACAGACCGUCUUGCUGUCGUCGUAUCGCCAAUACACAGUCUGCAGCUUCUGUCCAAGUGAACACGUUUGAAUGCUGCUCAUCGAAACUGGCUUCACCACCACUGAUGUCACACACUGUCCUGGUGCCUUCGUCUCGCCAAAAGACAACCGGCGGAUUCUGUGCGAACGUACACGUUUGAAUGCUGCUCAUCGAAACUGGCUUCACCACCACUGAUGUCACACACUGUCCUGGUGCCUUCGUCUCGCCAAAAGACAACCGGCGGAUUCUGUGUGAACGUACACGGUAAGAUCACGGAUUCUC